rnacentral:tRNA from 1 species
ACCUGAGUGGCUCAGUCGGUUGAGCGUCUGACUUCAGUUCAGGUCAUGAUCUUGCAGCGGGUUCGAGCCCCACUUCGGGCU